rnacentral:lncRNA from 1 species
GAGAAAUUAAUAUCUCUUGAAAUAAUAUCAUUUAUGGGUUUUCCGCCCCUUGCUUGGAUUUUCCUUCCAAUGUAUCAAGACCAUGAGGCAAAUCAUCACCAGCCAUCACUUUUUUUCCUUUUUCCUCUCUGCUAAGCCUCCUUCUAGUCUCUGAAUUACCAUUUUGCACACUAGCAGCUUGCUCAUCACCAUGAUCAUCCACGUCUGCGGCUACUGGAAUACAAGCAGACUGAGGUACUGUGUGCUCAAUUGGCAUCCCGAAUGUUUCCUCUGAUUCCAAAUUUACUGAAUGAACCACUGACAAACCCUGCUGGCUACUGGAAUACAGGCAGACUGAGGUACUGUGUGCUCAAUUGGCAUCCCGAAUGUUUCCUCUGAUUCCAAAUUUACUGAAUGAACCACUGACAAACCCUGCUCAUAAACUGUGCCUUUACAUUUCUCUUCUCUAGUGAAUCUCCUCCUCUUAACACUAGAAGG